rnacentral:lncRNA from 10 species
UUUCUGUUUCUAGACUGAGUAAUUCUUUAUUCUCAUGUAGGACAUCAUCUCUAAGGGAAGGGGCUAAUGAGAUGGUUGAUCACUCAGAGAGUUUAGCUGGAGAGGAUGGAAAAGAACCCAUACAUUCAGUUGCAGAUUGAGAUAGCCUAUCUCUGGCAGGCCUCAGAUUUCUUCAGGAUUCUAACAGACUGGACCCAGAGACUAGGCCAAACAAACAAACAAACAAAAACUCUACUAGGCAGACAUCACCAACCAAUCACAGAACUCUCUCCCAUGGAUCCCUAAUACAGCCUCAAAGUCCUUUUCAGUAAAUGCUCCAGGCAGCCAUUACAAAUCAAUCAGAAUUAUUUGCCUUUCUCUUCUCUGCUCAACGGGCUUCUGCUGCUCUCUACUUUCCAUAGGGGGCAACUUCCAUUACCCUCUAGAAAGCACACCCCACCACCUUCAUUUCAAGGAGAGUGAGGAACUCAUGCCCAGCACCUGCUAUUCUCCCCUCUUCCUGCAGCCACGGAGCCCAGCCUCGCUGCAGCCAGCCCUGCCUCCCCACUGUAGUCCAGUCAACUGCUGCAUCAGCCGUUCCUGGCACAGCAGGCUGAGCCUUGAUUAUGAAACCUGGGUGUCUCCAGGGGUUCUUAAGAUGAUAGGCUCCUGGAAUUUCUGUCCUUUUGGAGCUCAGUAAGGCACCAAACCACCUGAGUCUUGUGCUUCACAAAAUCAAAGUUCAUCAGAAUCAUUCAUUGGGAUGGAAUUGGUGAACAGAAGUUAACUUUCCUGGGAAUGUCCAUUUCCACCAUAUUCCGUCCUUCUAGGUCUCAGACUUCUCUACUUUCUUUCCUCUCUCUAGAUCGGAGGCCCUUCUUGUCCUAGAACCAUAGGCAUUUCAAGAUGUGGGAGACCCUAGGGAUCAUCUAGUCCACGCAUCUUUUUUUUUUUUUUUUGACAGAGUCUCACUCUGUCACCCAGGCUGGAGUGCAAUGGCACCAUCUCUGCUUACUGCAACCUCCACCUCCCAGGUUCAAGUGAUUCUUUCGCCUCAGCCUCCCAAGUAGCUGGGAUUACAGGCACGCACCAUCAUGCCCAGCUAAUUUUUAUAUUUUUGUAGAGACCGAGUUUCACCAUGUUGGCCAGGCUGGUCUUGAACUCCUGACCUCAGGUGAUCCACCCACCUCGGCCUCCCAAAGUGCUGGGAUUACAGGCGUGAGCCACUGCACCCAGCCCCGUGCAUCUUUUUAUAGAGGGGGAAACUGAGGCUUGGAGAGACCCAGAAAAAGAAUAUGACCUGCCCAAGGCCACACAUCAAACUAGUGCCAGAGCCAGGGACAGAACCUAGAUCAUGAGGACUCUUAAAAUGCACUCUAGUCCUCCCAGGUCUGAGACUUGGGUCCUUCCAGGAAGUGCCAGCAUUCCUGCCUGAGAAUGUGCCAAUCCACCAGUAUUGCCAAUGACUCAGCCCUCCAUGGAGAGCUUCUACUAACAUUACUAGCAUAGUUAGGGAUGGAAGGAAAAGAUUUAGAAGAGGCAGAUUCAGUAAAGGAACAAUCAGAGAGAUGGAAUUAAUCAAGGAAGGCUUCCUGGAGGAGGAAAAACUUCAACCCAAGGUUUGAAAGUAGCAAGCAUGGAUUAGCAGGGAGAAAGAGGGAGAGUGGUCCAGUUGAGAGAAACGUUUGUCUGGAUUCAUAUGAAGACAGAUCUAGUCCUGUUCUAUUAAAUAUCUCUAAGGGGGCCAAAAACAUACCCCCGCUAUCAAAGUCAGACCAGAUGCUUUGUUUGGAGAACGAAAUAUCCACAUUCCAACUCCCUCCCAGGUGAGAAGGGAGCUAACCUGAGCCCCUAUGCCUCUUUGUUUCCCUGCUGUGAACCAGAAGACAUUGCUGGGAUAUUUGAAAUAGGGACAGAGCUGGGAAUAUGGAAAGGAGACCCCUAACAUUUCUCCAGGGCUCUGGGUUCUGGAUUUGGAUUCCCCACCCAAGAAAGCAAGUUACAUCAGCAAUGCACUGAGGGUUGAGUCCUGGGAUGCCAAGGGUCGGUUCUUUAUUGUAUAGCAAAGCAGGCCCCAUCUUCACUGACUAAGACCAUCUCCACUCCCUGGCCACUCCCCACCAAGCAUUCUCUGCCACUCUUUCUCCUGAAAGUGGGGGCCAACUCUACCAUCUUGUUCUAACCCCCUGCCCCAGCUCACAACUCUCUCUCCCUCUUGAUGUGAGCAGCAAACCCACUUUCAGAGCUGUGGAGAUUGGCCCAGACCAGGAUCUGGAUGUUGUUGAAAUCACAGAAAACAGCCAGGAGCUUCGCAUGCGGAACUCAAGUGGGUAAGUGAGGGGACACCUUCUGGCCUACAGAAGGCCCCCACAUGGACGCUGCUCUUCAGGUUGCAACCAGCUCACCUGGAACCCCAAGCAGCCAGGGGAAUGUAAGCAGACAUCAGGAAGAACUCCUAGCCAGAUGGAUCAUUCAAUGCCAAGAGCUAUAGACUCACAUUUUGGAGAGGUUUUCUGUGUUGACUUGUUUUUAAUACAAUGGACAGCUGGACAAAGUGUGUUGUCCUACUCAGAGCCAGAGGGAUGGAUAAUGUGACCUUUCCAUCAAUCUGGAUAGUAAAUAGUUUUUGCUACUGCUGUAGGUUUUCUAAUAAAUUGCCCAAUAGGCAAGAUUCCAAAGUCACUUUGUCCUUCCCUACCACUUACCCAGCCAGAGCUCCCCACCUUCUUGAUGCUCCAGGGAAGAGGCUCCAUGGCCCUUGUGGGUGGCCUGUUCCUGAGCCUCGCCACCCUGUGUUAGAGCAGAGCAUCCAGAUGAAAUCUGUCACACUGUGGCAAAGUGGCUCAGAGAGGAGGCUGGCUUCCUAGCAUUCAGGGACGUUGCUGAGGGCCGCUUAUUCACCGAAAAUAAAUCUUGAAAAGGACAGGGCUGGUAGCAGAAUGAUCCUUUACCUAAAAUUCUAUCAAAAUCCCAUUCUUCCAUUUGGAAAGCCCACAGUGUCACAGACUCUGUUCCGGGCUCUGUCCUCUUCCCUCUUGGGUCCCAGGAGCCCAGGCUGGGCUUUGAAGCAGGCAGGGCCCAGCACACAGUAGGUACUCAGCAGUGGGGGUGUUGAAUCCAAUCAAACGGAAGUGUCAAUGCAGGAAAUGCAAUGGAUGUCAAUGCAGUCUCCAAAUGUUCCCCACUGUGCAGCUUCCACAUUCCCGAGGUAUUGGGAGGGGACUUGAAUUAACAGCUUCGGGAGGCCUGAGUCCCUGCCUCCCAGCUGAGGAAGAAGCUUAAAUCACAGGGCGCUGUGUCUGUCUUCCAGGCCCUGUCUCUCAGGCUCCCUGGUCUCCCUGCACUGUCUUGCCUGUGGGAAGAGCCUGAAGACCCCCCGUGUGGUGGGUGUGGAGGAGGCCUCUGUGGAUUCUUGGCCUUGGCAGGUCAGCAUCCAGUACGACAAACAGCACGUCUGUGGAGGGAGCAUCCUGGACCCCCACUGGGUCCUCACGGCAGCCCACUGCUUCAGGAAACAUACCGAUGUGUUCAACUGGAAGGUGCGGGCAGGCUCAGACAAACUGGGCAGCUUCCCAUCCCUGGCUGUGGCCAAGAUCAUCAUCAUUGAAUUCAACCCCAUGUACCCCAAAGACAAUGACAUCGCCCUCAUGAAGCUGCAGUUCCCACUCACUUUCUCAGGCACAGUCAGGCCCAUCUGUCUGCCCUUCUUUGAUGAGGAGCUCACUCCAGCCACCCCACUCUGGAUCAUUGGAUGGGGCUUUACGAAGCAGAAUGGAGGGAAGAUGUCUGACAUACUGCUGCAGGCGUCAGUCCAGGUCAUUGACAGCACACGGUGCAAUGCAGACGAUGCGUACCAGGG